GGGGGGGGAGGGGGGUUGCUGAAGACAGCUUAGCCCACUUCCACUAAUGUAUAAACUAUACUACCUUUCCUAUGAGUUGGAAUUCCCUGUUUUAAAAAUGAUUUGUGACCAUCAGAUUCUAAACCCCGUACCAGCUAAUUAAGUCUAACAUUCUUGUUUUUUAGAUAAUUUUGUUCAAUAUAUAUAAUUACAGGUAUUAAUUAACAAUUUUUGAUAUAAUGUACUGCUCGUCGACUAACUAUAUGGCCUUUAUUAAUGCAUUCUAGUUUUCGCCCAUUUUUUAGUACUCUUCAGCCCCUGUAAAACGGAACGGCUGUUAGUCGUUGUUUGCAUGUAGUUUCGCCACCACCAUUAUCUUUAAAAUGGCACUCUAAGUACUAUAACCAGUACAGCUUAUUGUAGUGUUUAUUGAGCAAAAUAAAAGGCUUUGCAUUCUAUUACCCAGUUUUCUGUCAAACUUUUUUCAUCAUGCGUGACCAAAAAAUAGGAAUCUCUUUGGCAUCCAAAACCCAACACCCUUCAUCUCUCAGAAAAAUAUAAAGUUACACUUCCAUAUUAUAACUCCAAAUCCGAGGCCCGUGUCCCCAGACUAUCAUUACCAUUCAAGGGUGGACUGUUUUUGUCAAAAAAAUGGUUAACAUUCUUUUUCUGUAAUGAUGUUCCUGUAAUAUUCCAGAAUUCCAGGCUAUAUACAAUGUACAUAUCAGUGAUUCCCCUGAGAACAAAUAUUAACUUACAACCCAAAUUGUGUCCCCCUCUUUUUGAACCUGAGGGUACGGUGCGAUUGUUCUGCCUUGGUUCCAGGCUGCAGUUGGCAUGUUGCCCCUAGGAGCAGCCCAUUGGAUUCCGGACUCCCUCUGGCUCAGAUAUUUGGAAUGGUUCUGGUGUCAGUCGGCACCUGCUGGCUGUCGGUUUUAAGAAAGGGAUUAUCAUAUCCCAAAGUGUACCCUUGUUGUCUCAUCUAUUGUUACAGAGGGAUUCAAUCAUGGGUAUGGGAGGGUGGGGAGCUGCAUUAAUCUGAGGUGACAGGAAAAUUAUUUAUAAUUUACGUCAUGAAUAGUACAUUAAAGAGACAUGCAUACAGAAGCAGGUAAAACUCUGAGCAGGAAACCUGUAAAGUUGAAUAGAUUUAUACUGUGUAUUGUGUAUAACUUAGGUGGGCCAGAUCGCUCUACAUUCUGUGUACAGCAGUAAAUCAGGCAGGUCAGGGCUCUCUGUAUACUGUGUACAGCAGUAAAUCAGGCAGGCCACGGCUCUUUGAACACUGUGUACAGCAGUAAAUCAGGCAGGCCGGGGCUCUCUGUAUACUGUGUACAGCAGUAAAUCAGG